UCGGAGCUGGAUGGUGUUUGUUCGUUCCUGGGCUGGCGAUUGAGGAGAGAGCUGCUGGGAAGGGAAGCAAAUAGCCCAUCCUGUAUUUGUUGGGGAUGGUGUGCGUCAAUUAAAAAAACCACACCAUAUCACCCCUCCACAUCCUCCUACUGUAUGCCAUACCUUCCUGUACCAUCCAUCUGACCGCCAAUAAACUCCACCUGUGGUAAUCUAA